CACCGGGUGGAUGAGUGGCGAACGGGUGAGUAACACGUGAGUAACCUGCCCCUGACUUCGGGAUAAGCCCGGGAAACUGGGUCUAAUACCGGAUACGACCGUCGGACGCAUGUCUGGUGGUGGAAAGUUUUUUCGGUUGGGGAUGGGCUCGCGGCCUAUCAGUUUGUUGGUGAGGUAAUGGCUCACCAAGACGACGACGGGUAGCCGGCCUGAGAGGGCGACCGGCCACACUGGGACUGAGACACGGCCCAGACUCCUACGGGAGGCAGCAGAU
rnacentral:rRNA from 1 species